UACGAAGGGGGCUAGCGUUGUUCGGAAUCACUGGGCGUAAAGGGCUCGUAGGCGGCCAACUAAGUCAGACGUGAAAUCCCUCGGCUUAACCGGGGAACUGCGUCUGAUACUGGAUGGCUUGAGUUUGGGAGAGGGAUGCGGAAUUCCAGGUGUAGCGGUGAAAUGCGUAGAUAUCUGGAGGACCACCGGUGGCGAAGGCGGCAUCCUGGACCAACACUGACGCUGAGGAGCGAAAGCCAGGGGAGCAAACGGG
rnacentral:rRNA from 1 species